AGGGCUGUAGCUCAUUGGUAGAGCAUCUGCUUCACAUGCAGAAGGUCCCAGGUUCAAUCCUCAGUGGCAUAA
rnacentral:tRNA from 1 species